AUGACGUCCCUGUCGCGGAUGCUCUCCCUGGCCGGCCCAAUGCAGCCGUCGGGGCCUCGCCGGAUUUCGAGGACACAGACCGCCGUCAACCUCGGCGAGCCCAUCUUCGACAGUGAGGUGGUGCUGUCGUCGCUCGUGGAGAUCGCGCCAAUCCUCCGUGUCACCAAAGAGAUUGGGUAA
rnacentral:rRNA from 1 species